rnacentral:rRNA from 1 species
AUUGAACGCUGGCGGCAGGCCUAACACAUGCAAGUCGAACGGUAACAGGAAGAAGCUUGCUUCUUUGCUGACGAGUGGCGGACGGGUGAGUAAUGUCUGGGAAACUGCCUGAUGGAGGGGGAUAACUACUGGAAACGGUAGCUAAUACCGCAUAACGUCGCAAGACCAAAGAGGGGGACCUUCGGGCCUCUUGCCAUCGGAUGUGCCCAGAUGGGAUUAGCUAGUAGGUGGGGUAACGGCUCACCUAGGCGACGAUCCCUAGCUGGUCUGAGAGGAUGACCAGCCAAACUGGAACUGAGACACGGUCCAGACUCCUGCGGGAGGCAGCAGUGGGAAAUAUUGCACAAUGGGCGCAAGCCUGAUGCAGCCAGGCCGCGUGUAUGAAGAAGGCCUUCGGGUUGUAAAGUACUUUCAGCGGGAGGAAGGGAGUAAAGUUAAUACCUUUGCUCAUUGACGUUACCCGCAGAAGAAGCACCGGCUAACUCCGUG